AUGGAGUCUGACGCGACCCAUGCACCCGCCACCUCCUCUUCCUCCUCCUACUCUUCCGACUCAGCCGUCAUCAAUGGCGUACAGGACGUGUCCAAGAGUGAGCCCAAGCAUCUGAAGCGCAAGAGACAGACCGCCACCUCUCCUGUUGCUCCAGCCACCGGCAGCCAAGAGACGGAGGGUGCCGACGGCGCCGCCCGGGCCGAGGAGAGCAGCAGCUGCGCCGCCGGGGAGGAGCGCACGGCCGGAAGGCACCCGUCGUACCGCGGCGUGCGUCGCCGGAGCUGGGGCAAGUGGGUGUCGGAGAUCCGAGAGCCGCGCAAGAAGUCGCGCAUCUGGCUCGGCACCUUCCCGACCGCGGAGAUGGCCGCGCGCGCGCACGACGUGGCCGCGGUCGCCAUCAAGGGCCGCCGCGCGCACCUCAACUUCCCGCACCUCGCCGACGCGCUCCCACGUCCGGCCUCCACUUCCCCCGCCGACAUCCAGGCCGCGGCCGCCCUGGCCGCUGCCCAAUGCGAGCCUUCCUCCUCCGUCGCCGAGACCACGGAGACGCCGACGACAUCGACGGAGACAUCGGCCGCAAGCUCCGGUACGGCCGUUAGCGGCGAGGAGAACGCUCUGUUCGACCUGCCCGACCUUCUGCUCGACCUGAGGGACGGCCUCUGGUGCUCGCGUACCUGGGCGACGGCCGCCGACGACUACGACGGCGGCGAAGCCGCGCUGCACGAGCCGCUCCUGUGGGUGGAGCAGUGCUGGACCUAG
rnacentral:rRNA from 1 species